rnacentral:lncRNA from 1 species
AAUCACGGCCGCCACGUGCGGGAGGCGCCGGCCGGGAGCGGUGGCGGGCCGAGCUUCGGACCUCGGGCCGGCGGAGAGGGUGGACCCCGCGUCGCUCUCGGCACCCCAGGAACAGCGGCGGCACGGACGCCUUGGAGCCCCGCGGCCGGGCCGCGAUGUGCUUUUCUCCUGUGUUCGCUGCCCGGGAUGCGGAAUCUUGAGCCUCGGUGUCGGGUUACAGAGUUGUCCUGGUGACGGGAUGCGGAGCGUUUCCUCCUUUUUGUUGUGGGGGCGGCUGGUGGCAGGGGCAGCUGGUGGCAGGGUUGCCCACGCUAAUCUCCGAGUCUCUAAGGGCACCGUCUUUCCUGGAUCCCUCUUGCGCCUCGUCCAUAAAGGCAGACCCGCGGGCGCGCGCCGGCAACCUGAAAUCAGAGCAGGCGUCCGUGGCGCUCAGGAACCUUGCUGAGCUUCGCCGAUCUUUCAUUGUUGCUUCAUUUGGGUACCAAGGGCCUCUCAUUCUGUGGAUUCUUUGCCUGGAGGAGCCCCCUUAAUGUUGCUAAUCACGUGUGGUUAAAUUGCUCGUAAAUUCCGAACAAAACAAAUAGCGACCUGUGUUACACUGUUUCUUGGUAACUGGGAAAGUUACUGGUGGCUUGAAGUAUACGCAGAAAAUACAAAGAUUAAAAACUAGGGAAGAGUUCACUGAAUGAACACCGUAACAUUUCUGCUCUGCAGGGUAAAAUAAUUUCGGGACCCAGGUCUGGGAAAGAUUUGUAUUAACAAGGCUGAUCCAAACUCAUAAUAUGAAUAGAUGGACAUUGACCAAAGAGACCAGCAGCAGAACAAAAGCAUAAACAAACAUGAGAGUAGGCUAAUUUUACCAACCUGAGGUCAAAAAGUUCUCAUGAGAUCUGGUCGUUUGAAAGCAUGUACCACUUCCCUCUUCGCUCACUCUCUCCCUCCCGCUCCACCAUGUGAAGAUUGUGCCUGCUUCUCCUUCACCUUCUGCCAUGAUUGUAAAUUUCCUGAGGCCUCCCCAGCCAUGCCUCCUGUACAGAGACUGUGGAACUGUGAGUCAAUUAAACCUCUUUUCUUUAUGAACUACUGAGUGUCAGGUAGUUCUUUAUAGCAGUGUGAGAACAGACUAAUAUAGUACUCGUUCAAAAUAUGUAAGUAAACUAUAGGACAACAGAAAAAGGGUGACAAUUUGUAAGAAAAGUGGGCAAAGGCUUGAAUGGAAAAUCUGCAAAAGAGAUUACAGGCCAAUAACCACAGGAGAAGAUGUUCAACUGCAUUAUUCACCAGGAAAAAGAAAAUUAUCUUUUGCACCAUCUUAUACCCAUUAGGAUGGCUAUUAUAAUAAAAAAAAAACAGAAAAUACUAAGUGUUGGUAAGGAUGUGGAGAAACUGGAAUCCCUGUGCACUCUUGGUGGGAACGUAAAAUGGUACAACCAAUAUAGAAAAUAGUAAGGUGGUUCCUCAAAAAAUUAAAAAUAUGAUUGCCAUAUGAUCCAGAAGUUUCAUUUCUGGGUAUAAAAACAAAAGAAGUGAAAGUAAUAACUCAAACAGAUGUGGCACACCCAUGUUCAUAGCAGCAUUAUUUCCAAUAGCCAAAAGGUAGAAGUAACCCAAGUGUCCAUGACAGAUGGAUAAACAAGUGGUGGUAUAUACAUACAAUGGAAUGUUAUUUAGCCUUAAAAAGGAAGAAAAUUCUGACACAUGCUAAGACACGGAUAAAUCUUGAGGACAUUAUGCUUAGUGAAAUAAGUCAGUCGCUAAAUGACAAAUAUUGUAUGAUUCCACUUAUAUGAGAUACUUAGAUCAGUUAAAAUCAUAGAGAUAGUAAAUAGAAUGGAGUACCAGGCCUGGAGGGAGGAGGAAAUGAAUUAUUGUUUAAUGGGUACAGAGUUUCAGUUUAAGAAGAUGAAAAGAGUUCUAUAUGUGGACGAUGGUAAUGGUAGCACAAUAAUGUGAAUAGAAUUUAUUCUACUGAUCUGUACACUUUAAAAUUGGUAAGAUAGUAAGUUUUGUUAUGUGUAUUUUACCACAAUUGAAGUUUAACCACAAUGCAAUAUCACUAUUUGCCUAUUAGAAUGGCAAAAAUGAAAAAGAGAGAAAAUACCAUGUGUUACCAAUCAGAACAACACAUACACUGACUGCUAUUAGAAGCGUAAAAUAGUACAAUAAUUUUGGAUGAUGCUUGCAGUGUCUACUAUAACUGAACAUACACAAACCUAAGACUUCACAGUUCCACUCCUAGAUAUAUAUCCAAGUAAAAAUGCUUCCAUGUCUUCCCUAAAAGACUGCAAGAAUGUUCACAGCACAAUUCAUAGUAACUCCAAACUGGAAACACCCAAAUGCCUAUCAAAAAUAGGAUGGAUAAUAAAUGUUAUAUUCAUGCAAUGGAAUAUUAUACAGCAGUGAGAAUAAACAUAAUGGUAACUAUUUUCAACAUAUGAAUGAAACUCACAAACAUACAGUUAAAAAAUGCCAGAUAAAGUGUAUCCUUUGGGUAGAUUAUUUGAAGGGUGCCCUGGAGUAGUGUUAUAGUACUGUUUCUUGAUCUCAGGGCUAUUUAUAUGGAUGUGUUAACUCUGUGGAAAUUCAUCAAGCUAUAUACCUAUAACUGGUGCAAUUUUCUGUAUUUUUGUGAUAAUUAAAAUGAGAAAUUUUGAAAUCCCAACAGUUAUGUGUGUGUGCAUGUGUGUGUGUCUGUAUGAGAGAUAGUGAGUGAGAGAGACAGAGAGAGAAAAAAUUGGCAAACUGUUAAUAAAAUUCAUACAUAAAUGCAAAGGACCAAGAAUAACCAAGAAAAUGUUUCUUGAAGAACAACAGAAUUGGAGGACAUUCACUAUUGGCUAUCAAGUCUACAGUAUAUGUAAUAUUGGCACAAGGAUAAACAUACAGGUCAGUAGGCCAGAAUAGAGACUCCAGAAAUAGAUCUAUGUAUGGUCAAUCACUUUUUCAAAUAGAUGUCAAGGUAAUGGGAGAAGAUAAUUUUUUCAAAAAAUAGUGCUGGAAUAACUGGACAUCUGUGCAAAAAAAUGAACCUCUACCCUUACAUCUCACUCUCUGCAAAAAAUGAAAGGGGAUCCUAACCUAAAUUUAAGAGCUAAAAUUAUAAUAUUUCUAGAAGAAAAUGAAGAAGUCUUUGUGACCUUGAAUUAGGCAAAGAAUUCUUAAUUAGGACACAGAAAAGCAUGAAUCACAAAAGAAAAAAAUGAUAAAUUGGACCUUAUCAAAAAGUUUUUAAUUUCUUUCUUUAUACUACAAACUCAUACACUGAUAAUGGGAAUGUAAAAUAUGGUACAGCCUUUUGGAAAACAACUUGGCAGUUUCUUAAAAUUUUAAACACAAACCCACCAUAUGACUGAGC